ACAAAAAACGUGGAUCACUGUGGGUCCGGUUCCCCGGCCUAGAGCUGAGGUUCCGGUUUCUAA
ensembl:miRNA